rnacentral:rRNA from 1 species
UGAGGAAUAUUGGUCAAUGGACGGAAGUCUGAACCAGCCAUGCCGCGUGAAGGAUGAAGGCGUUCUGCGUUGUAAACUUCUUUUAUUUAGGAAGAAACCACUUUUUUUUAAGAGUGUUGACGGUAUUAAAUGAAUAAGCCCCGGCUAACUCCGUGCCAGCAGCCGCGGUCAUACGGAGGGUGCAAGCGUUAUCCGGAUUUACUGGUGUUAAAGGGUGUGUAGGCGGACUUUUAAGUCAGGGGUGAAAUCCCGAGGCUCAACCUCGGAACUGCCUUUGAUACUAUUAGUCUUGAAUUAUGUUGAGGUUGGCGGAAUAUAACAUGUAGCGGUGAAAUGCAUAGAUAUGUUAUAGAACACCGAUUGCGAAGGCAGCUGGCUAAACAUAUAUUGACGCUGAGGCACGAAAGCGUGGGUAGCGAACA